AUUGAACGCUGGCGGCAGGCUUAACACAUGCAAGUCGAGCGGGGGCUUCGGCCCUAGCGGCGAACGGGUGAGGAAUGCCUGGGAAUCUGCCUGGUAGUGGGGGAUAACGUUCCGAAAGGAACGCUAAUACCGCAUACGUCCUACGGGAGAAAGCAGGGGACCUUCGGGCCUUGCGCUAUCAGAUGAGCCCAGGUCGGAUUAGCUAGUUGGUGGGGUAAGGGCUCACCAAGGCGACGAUCCGUAGCUGGUCUGAGAGGAUGAUCAGCCACACUGGAACUGAGACACGGUCCAGACUCCUACGGGAGGCAGCAGUGGGGAAUAUUGGACAAUGGGCGAAAGCCUGAUCCAGCCAUGCCGCGUGUGCGAAGAAGGCCUUCGGGUUGUAAAGCACUUUAAGCGGGGAGGAAGUACUUGGGGCUAAUACCCCUGAGUGUUGACGUUACCCGCAGAAUAAGCACCGGCUAACUCUGUGCCAGCCGCCGCCGUAAUAC
rnacentral:rRNA from 1 species